rnacentral:rRNA from 1 species
AGGGUGCGAGCGUUAAUCGGAAUUACUGGGCGUAAAAGCGCAUGCAGGUGGUUUGUUAAGUCAGAUGUGAAAAGCCCGGGCUCAAACCUCGGAAAUUGCAUUUGAAAACUGGCAGACUAGAGUACUGUAGGAGGGGGUAGUAAUUUCAGGUGUAGCGGUGAAAAUGCGUAGAGAUCUGAAGGAAUACCGGUGGCGAAGGCCGGCCCCUGGACAGAUACUGACACUCAGAUGCGAAAGCGUGGGGAGCAAACAGGAUUAGAUACCCUGGUAG